AAAUCAACAGGCUGUUCUAGACACUAUACUCAAAUAGAUAUAAUAGCCUUAGAUAUCACUGCAACACGUAUUUGUGUUUCCUACCCAUAAAGAUGUUGCAUAUGUUAAACGCGAACUAUUUUAAUCACUUUUUUUUAAAGACGAAGCAAUGUGACACAACUUGCGCUACCUAGAAUUCCAUUUUAGGGAGGGCCCGGGGAGUUGCUCGAGACCGCGCACGAGAUGACUGCCUGCAGAUCAGUAGUCGCAGUUGCACAUGGUAGGCACCCAGAUACAUCUGACCAAGACAACGCCGUUGGGUCGGUCCACGAAGACUUUUGAUGGAUACACUCAUCAUCAUUUAUGGAUUUUAGGAGAUAUGCAAAAAAAGAACCAUAUUUUUUUCCCUCCCCUCCGGGAAAUCAGGAUCUGAGAUAGAAUCGCGUCUUUAUUUGGAGCCCGCUGUAGCAAUCGGACUCAACACCCGAACGUCAGAGUUGCGCUCACUUUUGUACAACUCCGAUCAGUGACAAUAAGAUAAAACACGCUCCAAUAACGGUACUGGAACAGUACAGCUGUCGCACAAGUGGCGUGCGGCGAGGAAGCAUCUCUGGUGCCACACGGUCCAUGACAGCAGGGAUGUGGGCACGGCCUGGCGCAUCUAACCCGGACCGAACGAGAGAAAAGUAGGAACAACAAAGAAUGAACCAUGGCAUGCUUUAUCCCCACGGGCUGUCCUGAGGUCUGUUCUAAUGAGCACUUGAAUGAAGAACAGGUGUGGGGGUAUUGAGGAGGAGUCUAGCAAGAGGAACCGCCGUGGAGCAUUCCGGGGCAGACGGCCCCGUGUCAUUAGCCUGGGACAACGGGACUGCGCUCCACUGGCAAGCGGAAUGACAAGAGGGUGAUCGGAGCCAAACGUAGCCUGAAGAGCAUGAGGUUUCGGUCCAGGUGAGCGUGUCUGCCCAAACCAAAGAGAGUGCAGGAAACCAUUCCAGUUCCACACAGAGCAAAAAGAAACCCUCAACGUUCGCUGAAGUGUUCUUGCACCAGACCUGCUUCUGGGACACAGAUAGCUUCUAAAUCACCAAAUCCAGACUCUACAACCUCCUGUCUGCUCAAGCACCUGGUCUAUCCAUUGUCUAUCUUUCAUCGUGAUAGCCAUACCAUUUUUAUGUUCCAUGCUCCGAGAACUAACUUAAUGGUUUGGGACAUAGACGUAUUAUUAUCAGUAUAAUUCCCCUGAUGUUGUCCAUUCCUUCUGUUCUGUUUCUCCGUUGUUUUCUUGGAUUAUUCUUGAUUAUUCAUGUGCAUGUCAUCGUGCUGUCCAUUGUGGAGCAGAGGAGGAUGGGUUCCCCUUCAGCCCUGCUUCCUCUUGAGGUUUCUUCCUCUCACCCUCAGGGAGUUUUUCUUCAGGACUGUCGCCCCUGGCUGGUUCCCUGGGGGCUUGGAUCAAGACAAUGGCUGUUGUAAGAGGCAUUAUAUAAACAUACUUUGAUAGAUAAAAUUAAUUAUGUACAUUUAUUUCAAUGUUGCCAACCUUCAGACAUCAGACUCUCUUCUGGACCAGUCUUUCAAACACAGUUUAAAAUAUGUGUUUAUUUAUUUAUUUUAAUACUAAUAUUUUAAAAUAAUAUUUUAAUAGCAGUAGUUGUUUGCCCAGAUUUCUUUGAAAUCUUUAAAUCCAGUUUGUCACCA